AGCGUAGACGGAUGGACAAGUCUGAUGUGAAAGGCUGGGGCUCAACCCCGGGACUGCAUUGGAAACUGCCCGUCUUGAGUGCCGGAGAGGUAAGCGGAAUUCCUAGUGUAGCGGUGAAAUGCGUAGAUAUUAGGAGGAACACCAGUGGCGAAGGCGGCCUACUGGGCACCAACUGACGCUGAGGCUCGAAAGUGUGGGUAGCAAACA
rnacentral:rRNA from 1 species